UGUUUGAAAAUCUGAAUCCAGCCCAAGAGUCCAGACAAGCCUGAGGCUCGGAAUGCGUGACUGACUUGCCCAAGGCCACAGGGUGAUAGGGCAGAACCCGCUCCCCUCCUCCCAGGCCAGUGCUCUUUCUACUGAGCACCAUCACCACCAUCAUCAUCAUUGUUAAAAAAAUAAUAAUAACCGUUACUAUUAUUGCUAAC